GAAAGUACAUCCCAUUAUUCUAUCUGCUGAGCUUCUCCAACCCACUGGUAAACACUACCCUGCUGGAGAACAGCACUGCUGUGAGGAUGGAGAAAGACAGUUUUCAGGUAAAUUCAUGCUGGCCAUGAUGAUGGCUCAGGGCUGCUGAUUCUCCUGGAGGAGAUUCUACUGAAUUGUGAUUUUCAACAUCUUGUUCUUGGCAUCUAAAAAAGAAGUCAGGUGAACAGGACAAAGUAGAAGUUGAGGUGCCUCAAGAGAUGUCAUGGUAGCUCAAACCCACAUAAAAUCACAUCUGGAGCCUCCAAGGUACCCUGCUGAAAGAGCUGAUGCAUUUCCAUGACAAUGGGGCUGACAUGUGCUUUAACUGGACCCAAAGAGGCUGCAGUGUAGGGAGAGCUCCAGGCACAUGGUUGUCCCCCAGCAACAAGGUUUGAACAGGAAAGGACCUGGGGUCGAAAGCCCUCCCAGGAUGACAAGUAGAGAAGUGUGUCUACUGAAGCCUAAACCCAGCAGAGAAGAAGGAGAACUGAGUAAAGCAAAUGAGAAACUGAGUCCUGCUGAUGAAGAAAGGUCCUGAAUUGAGGAGAAACAGAAUGCUUACACUUACCUGUCCCUAGAUUUUCAGUCACAUAAGCUAAUUACUCAUCUUUCAGUUAAAGGUAUUUGAGAUUAAAUUUGCUUUCACUUUUAACUUCUAGUUGGAAAAUAAACCUAACUAAAAUUUUCAAUUGAUUUCUUCUUCCCCAAUCCAAAAUUUUAUACUAUAGUCAGACAAUGCAUAACCCAAGUCUCACAUUCUGAAGGCUUGAAUCUUGGAGGGCUUCAGACUCAAAUGUCCAUUCUCCUUUUCUUCCUGGAAAAUUAUAUUUACCUAUUAAGUUUCACUUACCUGCUCUCUCCUUUGUAAAAUUCUAUCCCUCCUCACCAGCAUUUCCAAUGAAUCAAUAUGUUUACAUUAUCAUAUCUAAAGUUGACAACAAAAACAACUUGUUAAUUUGUUGUGUGCAUCUCUUAGAUGUAAUAAAAAUUGUUUGCCAAUUA
ensembl:lncRNA